CAAAAAUCCCCCUUGUGAAAAAACCGGCGGGUGGGGUCCCCGCUUUGGAAUACGAGCUUGACAAACUGGUUGAUCCUGCCAGUAGUCAUAUGCUUGUCUCAAAGAUUAAGCCAUGCAUGUCUCAGUACAAGCCAAAUUAAGGUGAAACCGCGAAAGGCUCAUUAAAUCAGUUAUGGUUCCUUAGAUCGUACCAACAUUUACUUGGAUAACUGUGGUAAUUCUAGAGCUAAUACAUGCAAACAGAGCUCCGACCGGAGACGGAAGGAGCGCUUUUAUUAGAUCAAAACCAAUCGGCGGCGGGUCCGCUUGCGGGCUCGUCGUCGUUCGCAUUGACGAAUCUGAAUAACUUUCUGCUGAUCGCACGGUCUCGCACCGGCGACGCAUCUUUCAAAUGUCUGCCUUAUCAACUGUCGAUGGUAGGUUCUGUGCCUACCAUGGUUGUAACGGGUAACGGGGAAUCAGGGUUCGAUUCCGGAGAGGGAGCCUGAGAAACGGCUACCACAUCCAAGGAAGGCAGCAGGCGCGCAAAUUACCCACUCCCGGCACGGGGAGGUAGUGACGAAAAAUAACGAUACGGGACUCAUCCGAGGCCCCGUAAUCGGAAUGAGAACAAUUUAAAUCCUUUAACGAGGAUCAAUUGGAGGGCAAGUCUGGUGCCAGCAGCCGCGGUAAUUCCAGCUCCAAUAGCGUAUAUUAAAGUUGUUGCGGUUAAAAAGCUCGUAGUCGAAUCUGUGUCCCGCGCCGCCGGUUCGUCGCUCGCGGCGUUUAACUGGCGUGUUCGCGGGACGUCCUGCCGGUGGGCUUAGCCCUUUCACGAGGGCGGCCCAAUUAUAAUCCCGCCGCGGUGCUCUUUACCGAGUGUCGAGGCGGGCCGGCACGUUUACUUUGAACAAAUUAGAGUGCUUAAAGCAGGCUAAAACUUCGCCUGAAUACUUCGUGCAUGGAAUAAUGGAAUAGGACCUCGGUUCUAUUUUGUUGGUUUUCGGAACACCGAGGUAAUGAUUAAUAGGAACGGAUGGGGGCAUUCGUAUUGCGACGUUAGAGGUGAAAUUCUUGGAUCGUCGCAAGACGGACAGAAGCGAAAGCAUUUGCCAAAAACGUUUUCAUUGAUCAAGAACGAAAGUUAGAGGUUCGAAGGCGAUCAGAUACCGCCCUAGUUCUAACCAUAAACGAUGCCAGCUAGCGAUCCGCCGACGUUCCUCCGAUGACUCGGCGGGCAGCUUCCGGGAAACCAAAGCUUUUGGGUUCCGGGGGAAGUAUGGUUGCAAAGCUGAAACUUAAAGGAAUUGACGGAAGGGCACCACCAGGAGUGGAGCCUGCGGCUUAAUUUGACUCAACACGGGAAACCUCACCAGGCCCGGACACCGGAAGGAUUGACAGAUUGAGAGCUCUUU
rnacentral:rRNA from 1 species